GUGAAAUCGAGUAGGGCGGGACACGUGAUAUCCUGUCUGAAUAUGGGGGGACCAUCCUCCAAGGCUAAAUACUACUGACUGACCGAUAGUGAACCAGUACCGUGAGGGAAAGGCGAAAAGAACCCCUGUGAGGGGAGUGAAAUAGAACCUGAAACCGUGUACGUACAAGCAGUAGGAGCACCUUCGUGGUGUGACUGCGUACCUUUUGUAUAAUGGGUCAGCGACUUAUAUUCAGUAGCAAGGUUAACCAUCUAGGGGAGCCGUAGAGAAAUCGAGUCUUAACUGGGCGUCGAGUUGCUGGAUAUAGACCCGAAACCAGGUGAUCUAGCCAUGGGCAGGUUGAAGGUUGAGUAACAUCAACUGGAGGACCGAACCGACUAAUGUUGAAAAAUUAGCGGAUGACUUGUGGCUAGGGGUGAAAGGCCAAUCAAACCUGGAGAUAGCUGGUUCUCCCCGAAAUCUAUUUAGGUAGAGCCUCGGACGAAUACUACUGGGGGUAGAGCACUGUUAAGGCUAGGGGGUCAUCCCGACUUACCAACCCUUUGCAAACUCCGAAUACCAGUAAGUACUAUCCGGGAGACACACGGCGGGUGCUAACGUCCGUCGUGGAGAGGGAAACAACCCAGACCGCCAGCUAAGGUCCCAAAUUACAGCUAAGUGGGAAACGAUGUGGGAAGGCUUAGACAGCUAGGAUGUUGGCUUAGAAGCAGCCAUCAUUUAAAGAAAGCGUAAUAGCUCACUAGUCGAGUCGGCCUGCGCGGAAGAUGUAACGGGGCUAAGCUGUAAACCGAAGCUGCGGCAAUGCAUUUUAUGUAUUGGGUAGGGGAGCGUUCUGUAAGCCGUUGAAGGUGAGUUGUAAAGCUUGCUGGAGGUAUCAGAAGUGCGAAUGCUGACAUGAGUAACGAUAAUGGGGGUGAAAAACCUCCACGCCGGAAGACCAAGGGUUCCUGUCCAACGUUAAUCGGGGCAGGGUAAGUCGACCCCUAAGGCGAGGCCGAAAGGCGUAGUCGAUGGGAAACGGGUUAAUAUUCCCGUACUUCUUACAAUUGCGAUGGGGGGACGGAGAAGGCUAGGUGGGCCUGGCGACGGUUGUCCAGGUUCAAGUGCGUAGGCUUGAGAGUUAGGUAAAUCCGGCUCUCUCUAAGGCUGAGACACGACGUCGAGCACCUACGGGUGUGAAGUCAUUGAUGCCAUGCUUCCAGGAAAAGCCUCUAAGCUUCAGAUUGUAAGGAAUCGUACCCCAAACCGACACAGGUGGUCGGGUAGAGAAUACCAAGGCGCUUGAGAGAACUCGGGUGAAGGAACUAGGCAAAAUGGUACCGUAACUUCGGGAGAAGGUACGCUCCUGUCGGUGAAGUCCCUUGCGGAUGGAGCUAACGGGAGUCGCAGAUACCAGGUGGCUGCAACUGUUUAUUAAAAACACAGCACUGUGCAAAAUCGUAAGAUGACGUAUACGGUGUGACGCCUGCCCGGUGCCGGAAGGUUAAUUGAUGGGGUUAGACGUAAGUCGAAGCUCUUGAUCGAAGCCCCGGUAAACGGCGGCCGUAACUAUAACGGUCCUAAGGUAGCGAAAUUCCUUGUCGGGUAAGUUCCGACCUGCACGAAUGGCGUAAUGAUGGCCACGCUGUCUCCACCCGAGACUCAGUGAAAUUGAAAUCGCUGUGAAGAUGCAGUGUACCCGCGGCUAGACGGAAAGACCCCGUGAACCUUUACUACAGCUUGGCACUGAACAUUGACCCUACAUGUGUAGGAUAGGUGGGAGGCUUUGAAACCGGUACGCCAGUAUCGGUGGAGCCGUCCUUGAAAUACCACCCUUGUAGUGUUGAUGUUCUAACUUAGACCCGUUAUCCGGGUUGAGGACAGUGCCUGGUGGGUAGUUUGACUGGGGCGGUCUCCUCCCAAAGAGUAACGGAGGAGCACGAAGGUGGGCUAAUCACGGUUGGACAUCGUGAGGUUAGUGCAAUGGCAUAAGCCCGCUUGACUGCGAGAAUGACAAUUCGAGCAGGUGCGAAAGCAGGUCAUAGUGAUCCGGUGGUUCUGUAUGGAAGGGCCAUCGCUCAACGGAUAAAAGGUACUCCGGGGAUAACAGGCUGAUACCGCCCAAGAGUUCAUAUCGACGGCGGUGUUUGGCACCUCGAUGUCGGCUCAUCACAUCCUGGGGCUGAAGUCGGUCCCAAGGGUAUGGCUGUUCGCCAUUUAAAGUGGUACGCGAGCUGGGUUUAGAACGUCGUGAGACAGUUCGGUCCCUAUCUGCCGUGGGCGUUGGAAGAUUGAAGGGGGCUGCUCCUAGUACGAGAGGACCGGAGUGGACGAACCUCUGGUGUUCGGGUUGUCAUGCCAAUGGCAUUGCCCGGUAGCUAAGUUCGGAAUCGAUAACCGCUGAAAGCAUCUAAGCGGGAAGCGAGCCCUGAGAUGAGUCUUCCCUGACCCCUUGAGGGUCCUAAAGGGUUGUUCGAGACUAGAACGUUGAUAGGCAGGGUGUGUAAGCGUUGUGAGGCGUUGAGCUAACCUGUACUAAUUGCCCGUGAGGCUUAACCAUACAACACCCAAAGGGUUUUG
rnacentral:rRNA from 1 species